rnacentral:rRNA from 1 species
UACGUAGGUGGCAAGCGUUGUCCGGAUUUAUUGGGUUUAAAGGGAGCGUAGGCGGUUCAGCAAGUCAGAAGUGAAAGCCCGGGGCUCAACCCCGGGACUGCAUUUGGAACUGUGCUGCUAGAGUGUCGGAGAGGCAGGCGGAAUUCCUAGUGUAGCGGUGAAAUGCGUAGAUAUUAGGAGGAACACCAGUGGCGAAGGCGGCCUGCUGGACGGUAACUGACGUUGAGGCUCGAAAGCGUGGGGAGCAAACAGG